GACAGAGGGUGCAAACGUUGUUCGGAAUUACUGGGCGUAAAGCGCGUGUAGGCGGCAACGCAAGUCGGAUGUGAAAUCCCAAGGCUCAACCAUGGAAGUGCACCCGAAACUGCGUCGCUAGAGUCCUGGAGAGGAAGGUGGAAUGCUUGGUGUAGAGGUGAAAUUCGUAGAUAUCAAGCGGAACACCGGUGGCGAAGGCGGCCUUCUGGACAGUGACUGACGCUGAGACGCGAAAGCGUGGGGAGCAAACAGG
rnacentral:rRNA from 1 species